AGAUUGAACGCUAGCGGGAUGCUUUACACAUGCAAGUCGAACGGCAGCGCGGACUUCGGUCUGGCGGCGAGUGGCGAACGGGUGAGUAAUAUAUCGGAACGUGCCCAGUAGCGGGGGAUAACUACGCGAAAGCGUGGCUAAUACCGCAUACGCCCUACGGGGGAAAGGGGGGAUUCUUCGGAACCUCUCACUAUUGGAGCGGCCGAUAUCAGAUUAGCUAGUUGGUGAGGUAAAGGCUCACCAAGGCGACGAUCUGUAGCUGGUUUGAGAGGACGACCAGCCACACUGGGACUGAGACACGGCCCAGACCUCCUACGGGAGGCAGCAGUGGGGUAAUUUGGAC
rnacentral:rRNA from 1 species